CCUACGGGGCGCAGCAGUGGGGAAUAUUGGGCAAUGGAGGCAACUCUGACCCAGCAAUGCCGCGUGAGUGAUGAAGGUCAUUUUAUUGUAAAGCUCUUUUCUUUGGAACGAAUAAAUGACGGUACUAACGGAAUAAGCCCCGGCCAACUACGUGCCAUCAGCCGCGGUCAUACGGAGGGGGCAAGCGUUGUUUGGAAUGACUGGGCGUGAAGGGUGUGUAGGUGGUUUGAUAGGUUACAUGGGUAAUUCCCAGGGCUUAACUCGGGGGCAGCAGCUAAAACUGUUAGACUUGAGUACGGGAGAGGAUAGUGGAAUUCGUAGUGUAGCGGUGGAAUGCGUAGAUAUUAGGAGGAACAUCAGUGGCGAAGGCGACUAUCUGGACAGCGACUGACACUGAGGCACGAAAGCGUGGGGAGCGAACAGGAUUAGAUACCCCAGUAGUC
rnacentral:rRNA from 1 species